rnacentral:lncRNA from 1 species
CAUAUUCAUUUGCAGAAACCCUGUGUAUGGAUCUUCAACACUUCUUUUUUUGUCUUCUUUUCCGAGGUACCUAAAAUAAUAGCUUUUUAAGACAGUCUUACGAUCACAUAACUUGUUGGGAAAAGCAUACCAUGGCUCACAAUCUGAAUUAAACAUUGUCAUUGUGGUAUAGAAGAAGGUGCAUGCUCAGGAGUUGCUAUCUGACUGAGUUGCUGAAGACAGCGAGUCACUGACAGAGGAGUAGGAAUUAUCAAAAGAGAAGUGUCUGCCACCCUGUUUCUUUUGUGCUAACCACCAACAGCUGGAGACCAGGCCAAAGAGAGGCAAGAGAAGCACGUCUCAAGGAAGCAUGUGCUUAAGCACGAAGAUGAACAAAGCUUCCAGGGCUAUUCAAAUCAGCUCUGGCUAUACCAAGUCCAUGCCUAUCCCUUAUACUUUCCAUAUAUUUUAAUAAAUUCAAAGAGAGCUGCUGAGAUUAAAGGGAAGAGCUUUGUGGUGGACAACGCGAAAUGAACAGGCUCUUCCUGCUGUGCAAGGCAGCGACUUGCUGAAGAUGGAGCCUGCACAUCAGAGGAGAGGAUCAUAAGGAUUCUGCCAGGUUUUAAUGCAACAUACCGGCUAUUUUGACUUGAGCUGACCCUACCUCGAUUUGUUGUGUUCCUUCCUUAUCUGCCCAUUCUAAUGGAAGUCUGCCACACAUCAUGGAUGCAAAGUGUGGAGCAUCAGAUGUUCACAGCUUCCCAUUGUGAAGUGAAGGUGUUGGGACCACUUUGUCUUCAGGACUGGACCAACGCUUUAACUACAAGAAAGUGUCAGAUAUGCGGGAUGAUGAUGCAUGGAAAGAAGAAAAACAUUCCUGAGUCAUCCUGUUUCCUGAGCAUAAGGAGGCACAAGAUAGUAAGUGUUGGAUUUUCAUCCUACCUUUACAUUCUGUGAUGGGGCACCAUUGCAAGCUCUCCUUACAAAGCUUUGAGCAGAGAGAUUAUCAGAACCAUGAGGUUUGUGGUGUAUUCACAACGGAACAGGCAGCUUAAAAAAGGAUGUACUAUUUGAUCAGCAGUUUCCUGCAUAUGGAAAUCUUAGGUCACCUUGCUGUUCCUUGAUGUCUAAAAUCUGCUAUCAGGCUUCUGCAAGGAAAUAUAGAUUAGUAUUCAGUGCCUUGUAGUAUUCUUUUAUUAAUAUUACUAUUUUUUCAAUUUUAAGGACAAAAACAGCAGAACAGUGCUGUGAUGACAAGAAGCUGAGUGCUGAGCCCACGCAGGGCACUGGGGAGGGUCACUGGGAGUGAGUCAGGUUGAUGUCUGCUGAGAUGGUUUUGUUUGCAGUGUUUUCACACGUGUAUUCAAUAAGGCUUUUGUUUUACUGAAAGGAAGAGACACUAUACAGCAUUAUCCCGAUUUUGAAGUGACAGUGCCAAGGGGACUUCAGUAAAGGAUUUGAUGGCAAUUGAAUCUGAAAAGUAAAGCUUUGUAAUUGCUUAGUUAGUUUUGAAGUAAUGCUUAUAUUUAAGAUUUAUGUACAAAAACAGGCUAUAUCAACAGUAGUGAAGUGGUUUUGGGCCAAGUCUUUUUUAAAGCAACUUAUGAACAGAAGGUCAUUUCAGAUUUCUUUCUUCUCCUGCAAAGACACAAACACAAAUCCCACCUCGCUGUGUUCGUAUAAUAUGUAAUACAUCAUUAUGCUGCAUUUAGUAAGUGCUUGUACUUCCACAAGAAUAUCUGAGCUUUACUCUUGAUUAUAGUAAACUUCCCAAUGCAAGUAAAAGCAAUUAUUAUCCUCAGAGUUUCUGUGACCUGUUAGGAAGACAUAAGCUGUUACAAGACUUCUGAAGGCUCAUCUUACAGUCUGUAAAUCCCACCUUAAAAAUACAUAAUUUGGAGACUAUUGAGUCCUCUGAUGAUACUAUGGUAUUGAAUCAUCUUUAUAUAAUUGUGCUGGUGAAUAUAAAGUAUCAUUGUUUUCAGCAUCUUUUAUGAAAGCUGUUUUGACCUUCAGAUUAAAGGAUCCAUAUGGAUUUCCAAAUGAAAAAGUUGGAGCUCCUGUUUAAAACUUGAACUCCAGCUCGGCAUGAAGGCAUCAGAUGUGCUUCCACUUGAAAAAGCGUUGUUGUACCAGCAUAUAUCCCGCCUGAAUUUUUCUCCUGGGUAAAAUCUUAUAAAUGUGUGUAUCGUGCAUAAUGAGGAUUGGAGGUUAGCUGCUUCCAGUGAAUUCCCUUUCAAAGUGUAAGGAAGAUGCAGAGCAGCAAGGAGGAGAAAUCCAUUGGUAUUUGAGCUCUGUAGGAUGAAGAGGUUUGCUGCUGGGGGAAGAUCAAGAGGAGGCAGUAGGAAUAUUUUGGGCACUUCUGAAGGAGAGAUGGAGACCAUCUGGUAGAGAGGAUGCUUAAAGGAAAAGUGCCAGGACAGAGAUAAAAGUAAAGGGAAAGGAAAUAGUGACUGAGUAACAUCAAAGAGUGAGGCUGACUAUAGAGCAAAAAGGAAGACAUAGCAGUGACCCAACAUAGGCAAAUCAUAAUACAAAUGGUGGCACUGGGCGACGAAUCCAUAUGAAUCGGUGAAGGCUCGGGGGAAAAGCUCAGCAUUUUAAUUUCAGGAAAGUCUACAGGAAAGUGGUGUUGACAUCUUUGGAAGGCUUAUAAUUUAAAACUGAUGCAGUAAGCAGGGUUCCCGCUGCUUCAGAAAUACUGUCCUGGAGUCUAAUCCAGAUACUGUAACUACAGCAGAAUUUUAAAUGGAGAGAUGCCAAGAAGAAUGUUUCUUCCCUCAUCGGCAUCAGCAUCUUUUCAUUUGAAUGACUUUUAGGGCAUUAGAUGUUUCCGUUGAACUGCUUUCUAAGGCUCGUGUCCUGAAGCAUUGGUUGGUGUGUGGUCCUUCCCUGUGUUGAGCUGGAGCCGAUCUCAUGUAAAGAAAGGAAGAUGCUGGUUUUGCUUUUCUCCUGCUGAAGGAGAAUAACUUUGGGCCAGUCCCUUUCUCCUGCCAAAGUCUGAAAAACUUUUCUAUCAUUGGAAUUCCACUGAGAGUGGAGCAGUGGUAAGCCCCGUGGCUUCUAUGGGUAGAGCAGUACAGGCUAAGAGAGUCUGAUCAUCUCUUGUGCUUUGUUUUACACCCAACCCUAAACAUGGUGAGUCAGGACAGGCGAUGGGCCUAAUUAUAAAGACUGUCUGUGCUCCUGCCUCUCUUACUCCUUCCCAUCUGUAUUUAGGAGGACUUUCUGCAUCCUAGGGGAACCGUGCUUUAGGAGGAUUUGAGAUCAAGGCCUGAAAUAAUCUCAUGGUUUUCUUCCUGCCUGCCUUUCUUUCCUUCUUAACAAAACAGGUGUGUUACUUUUUUUACUGAAGUCGGUCCAGGGAAAGGAAAAGAAGAAAGUACUUCCAGAGGGUAAUUAGUCCCAUCUUAAAACAAGUGUGUAAGACAGGUAGGAUAAGUCUCUCUCUCUGAAAGUGCCAAUCUGUCACCACUAUCUAUAGAAGGAGCCUUCACGAGUAGCUUAGAGUAGGUGUUUGACUUUUACACAGUUAAAUUUAGAGGAGAUGAUUGCCACUUUUUAAGUCAGUCAAAGUGCUUGUUUAUAAUUGAUUAACCAUUAUAGACUGAAGAGUUGUGAGAGAGAACAAAAGUAAAAAUAUAAUGCCAUUGAUAGAGAUAUCGUGUAAUACGGAAUAGCAGUAACAGCAAUUGCAGAUGGUUAACAUUUUCAUUCCCCAUUGUUUUUAUUUUACUGUUAAAUCUUCCCAGAUUUUAGGUCUUGUUUGAUCCUGUAGAAGGAAAAAAUUUCCCCUGCUUUAGUGUAAGCAAAAAACUGCUGAAAUAUUUGUAGGAUUAAGAAGUGAUUUGUCCUGAAAAUGUCAAUUCUUAUAUGUAGGGUCAUUAAUCCAUAAAAUGAAUUUGCAAACAUUUCUAAGUUCCCUUUCGUGUUGUUGGUGUUUUACUUGACAUGCUUCUGACCGCUCUCUCAAUGAAGGCUGCACUCAGAAGAUCCUGCAAGGCGUACACUGACAGUGUGUGGGACUUGGUUUUGCAUGUGUCUUGACCUGGCAUAUACAGUCUGUUACAAUGAAAUAAACUCACUUGUCAUUUAAGAGUAUUAAUCAUAUUUCAGGCUGUUGCCCAAGAAUUUCAUUGUGUACAAUGCUUUCACCAGCCAGAACCAUACUGCAGAAAGUAAAUAGAUAAAAUCACUUUCUCUAGUAAAAAUAAUUCUUGACUACAGCCUCGCUUGCAGAGUAGAUAAUGCUUGUAGAAAUGGCAGAUGCUCUGAAGGUUUGGAGUAUUGUGACAAUAAGAAUUUUAAACAAAGUUGGAAAAAGCAGAUGGUAUAUAUGGACGGGAAAUCCUGUGGUAGUUUUGAUUUUAUGCAAGGAAAAGAAGGAGUUCCUUAGGUCCAUAAAUCUGUUUGUUUGCAGUACUCAAACAGAGAUUUUCAUGAUCUUAGCUUUCCUUUCUUCAAAAUGUUGCUUUCAAGUACAGAUGGGCCUAUAUACCACAAGUUUGGGAUCCAGAUUGGGGCUUGGACCUGACAUUCAUCAGAGCGUAAGCAUAUUUGAACCUAGCAUUUGAGGUCAGCCUCUUGUGGAGUUAACCACCUACUGAUUGAGUAGAUCUCUCCUAUAUGUCGAGGCAUAGGUGUAGAAAGUACAAUGAUUUUAUUUAACUUGAUCUGUAAGGUAUUUAAAUUUAAUUCGGAAGACUUCUCAUGAAGCAGGAGGCUGUAUUUAUAAUUAUUAUUGUGUCUGAAGGGUGAAAUUACAUAUGACAAUUAAAUAUGGUGGAUAUUAUAAUAGGAUACAUACUUAAAGUGGUUUCCAAUCUAAAUGUGUUUGAAGUCAAUAGGAGUACCUACGGCAAAGUAUUCGGAUCCUGAUUUAUAAUCUACCACUUUUACCCCAGUAUGGUUAUUUAUGGAUAAAUUGACCUGUUCCUAGAAUAGAAUAUGAUAUGUUAGUAAAACUGUACGCCUAGGUGUGGAAAGACAAUUAGCCUAUAAACACACUGACUUCCUCUUUAGGUUGAGAACACCUCAUAUUUCCAAGACUAAUGGUUUCUAAUCUGUUUUUAAAUGUUCCAUUUGGAUAGUGAAGGCGUAACUAUCAAAACACUGUAAAAUCAUAAUGCCUGUGCAGCUAUAAAUUACUGUUUUCAAAAUGAGCUGGAGGUCUCCAACUUAUUCCCAAGUGCAGAAAAGUUAGAUAACAUAAAACUGCUCAGAAAUGACUAGAAGCAACUUUUCUGGCUUUUUCCAAAUGCUAGGAAAUCGUGGAUCUGCCCACUAACUCCCUAGCAAUGCCCAUAUGGAUAGCAAUAAAGCUAGUCCCAUAAAGAAUACUUGAAUUGAUCAAAAGCAUUUCAGAUUAGAGAUCAACAGAAAGAGCUGUGUUGCUUUUUGUUUGUUUGUUUAUUUAUUUAUAUCCUGGAAAUCUCUCUGAUACGAAAAAUAUCUGACUUAUUUUUCAUUCAUCAAAUUGUGGACUGCUUCAUAUGAGAUACGAACUGCAUGACCUGCUGAUGGCGAAGUGCUGCUUCCAUGGAAGAUGCAGCUUUAAACAAUAAGAGAAAGGUAACGACUUGGAGUAUUUUUGUAAGUCAAAUAAACCCUGGGCAUUUCAGAUAGUUGGUAAAAGGCAACUUUGAGCUUUCUGUUGCUUCUGGUCUAGAUGGAUCUUAGUAGUCCUUUCCAACCUUAAUGAUUCUGUGACUCCACUUGUUUUAAAUACAAAUGCAAUGAUUACUUUUAAUGAAGAAAGAAGAUGCAUGAUUUAAAAUAUCAUUAGGAUAGUCUUCUGCGGGGCACAAAAAAAAAAAACCUUUGCAGAUGUUAUUGGCUCUUUUGGGUUAUACUAAAAUAAAAACUGGGAGAAGUGCCUCAUUUGAAUUUAUACUCCCUUUGUGAUCCAUCAAAAAGGAUUCAUCUCCUAUUCAAAUGACUAGUCAAUAUGUUAAUCAGAUCAAAUACUACUAAUAAGAUGCUAAAAAUGCUUCUGAGGAACAGGGGGAUUUCUUUAACAAGCCAUAAGGUGCGUUUUUAAUCCAUUUCUGACUUGCUAAGUUCUUUCUGGUUCUCACAACUGUUCCAUCAUGACUCAGUUCCAAUCCUUUUUGCAGGAGAAAGAAUCAAGGUGUAAAUCAAGGGCAACACGUAGAUACUGCCUUUCCUCUCCAACUAUUCCCAAAGCCACUGUGGUCUUUGUGCUUUCCUAUCUCACAUCUAUUUAAGACGUUGGUGCUGCUGGAUACUUUGGCUUGAUAAACCUAUUUUUAAUGAGAUUCGCCAAAUCACAGAGCAUAAAUUUUGUUGAAGAUUUAAAAUGUGAAUUAAUGAAAUAAUGUUGUCUCCUUAUUACAAGAGAAGAGGAGCUCCUGUUAGAGGAGGGUCACCAAUCACAAUAGAGGCUGGUGUGGAGGGUGGGUUUUUUCGUAUCUUCCUGGUCAUAUCAGCAGAACAAAACUCUUCUGUAGCUCAGCUCUGAGCUCAAAAAAUCAUCUGUAAUAUUUGCCUCACACAGAGUGCCUUAGUGGCAAAGCUCCUCAUCCUGUUUGACUUGAGCUGAAGUUUCGCACCCUUUCCAUCUUCAACAUUUUUAAGCUAAACAGAUUUAAGUUUUGAGAUCUGAGCUGCAGCUGAAGCUAAAUAAUUAAAUAAAAAGAAAGUCUCAUUAGGUUUAUUCUUCCUCCCAGAUAAAUCAAGCCUAAUUCGUAACCCAAAUGUGGAGAUAACCCUGGAAAUGGCACACAAAAUUCCCCUUAGGAUUUUGCUUGCUGAAAGCACACUGGAGCUGACCAUCCCGGCUGGUUUGGAUUGAUUGAAUUUGUAUCUGAUAUUCUAACAUACUGGGGACAAGUUUAUCUCUAAAUUUUGUCUGGAAUAUGGGGCACCAUCCUAUGACAUAUAUACUUUAAUCAAUUAAAGUAAAUGAGUUCAUUCAUGAAAAUUUUUGCAGGAUUAAGCCUGUGAAUAUCAACCAUUUGGGACUGAGAAAAUAAACAGUAACAUUUAAUAAAUAUACAGCGCACUAAGAACGUUUUUAUUAGUCUUUUGACAUUUUUAUCUGGCUCCUAUAAAGAAGUAUUUGGAGCUGGGACAACAACUGGUGCAGGUAAAUUUCCUACACUGGGAAAGGAUCUGGUAUUUAGUUUAUGGGAAGCAGGCCUGAGCAGAUGUGAAAAGUUCAAAUAAAGGAAGGCCAGAUUAAACGCACUUUUGUGGCUGGAAAAUCAAAACAGAUGUUAUUAUUCAACCACAAAAAAAUCUAUGCACACUUAAGUAGCAUUAGGUGUCUGAUCAGCUACAUUUUUUUUUUUUAAGUGAAAAUAACAAAACGAUUAUAAAAUUAUAUAGGCUGACAAAAUGCUUUAAAAUAUUACCAAUAGACUGACUAGCUUGGUUUUCUGUUUUGUGGGAAGGAGUAGAACUGAAUUGGAUCUUACUACACCUAUAGAAAAAUGAGUGUAUCUAAUGAUGGUAGAAUCAAGAGAAGAUUUGGACAGUGUAAAAAGGAAUAGACCCUCCAUCUGAUGCAUGUUAGAGAAUAAUUUAAGAUGGAUGCCCUUUAUAAUUGUCCAUAAACUUUUCUGGGCACCUGCCCAUUUGAAAAGAUUGAUCUUGGCAGAGGAUGACAAAUUCUGGAGGUCCGCAGGAACCCUUGACAGCAAGCAUAUGUUUGCUGCGUGUGAAUGUUGGCAAAUAGUUAUAAAGAUGAUUUCUAAUUAGAAGAAACACAACCUAGGUUCAGAAAUGUGUACCUAAGAUAAAUGGACUAGCACAGGAGGUCUGAAAUGAGUAUCUUUUUCUGUAGAAGCCAGAUGAUGGAGACAGUGGUAAGAACUUUUUGUUUUGUAUGAAGGGAUGGCAUAGUUUGCAGGGGCUCGUUUGCUGGCCUGGCAUGUUUCUGCUGUAGAUGCACCUUGGUGAUCUUGCUGAGAGUCAGAGGCUAAUGAAGAGCAGUUCAUAUUAGCUCAGUGGAGUUGACAGACCUUGUUAAAUGUGCCACGUAAAACAGGGAGGCUGUGGUCAUUGCUUCCAUGUUCGGAGGGAAAGAGGGAAAUGGAAUUACAGGAAUAUCUCAG